UGGGGAAUAUUGCACAAUGGGCGCAAGCCUGAUGCAGCCAUGCCGCGUGUGUGAAGAAGGCCUUCGGGUUGUAAAGCACUUUCAGCGAGGAGGAAGGGUAGUGUGUUAAUAGCACAUUGCAUUGACGUUACUCGCAGAAGAAGCACCGGCUAACUCCGUGCCAGCAGCCGCGGUAAUACGGAGGGUGCAAGCGUUAAUCGGAAUUACUGGGCGUAAAGCGCACGCAGGCGGUUUGUUAAGUCAGAUGUGAAAUCCCCGUGCUUAACGUGGGAACUGCAUUUGAAACUGGCAAGCUAGAGUCUUGUAGAGGGGGGUAGAAUUCCAGGUGUAGCGGUGAAAUGCGUAGAGAUCUGGAGGAAUACCGGUGGCGAAGGCGGCCCCCUGGACAAAGACUGACGCUCAGGUGCGAAAGCGUGGGGAGCAAACA
rnacentral:rRNA from 1 species